GUACUAAUGAAGAGUCCCAAACUAAGACGAAACAGCUGUCCAGUAC
rfam:Trichobilharzia regenti genome assembly, scaffold: TRE_scaffold0002888